rnacentral:rRNA from 1 species
CAGCAGCCGCGGUAAUACGAGGGGAGCUAGCGUUAUUCGGAAUUACUGGGCGUAAAGCGCACGUAGGCGGCUUUGUAAGUUAGAGGUGAAAGCCCAGAGCUCAACUCUGGAAUUGCCUUUAAGACUGCAUCGCUUGAAUCCAGGAGAGGUGAGUGGAAUUCCGAGUGUAGAGGUGAAAUUCGUAGAUAUUCGGAAGAACACCAGUGGCGAAGGCGGCUCACUGGACUGGUAUUGACGCUGAGGUGCGAAAGCGUGGGGAGCAAACAGGAUUAGAUACCCCAGUAGUCCCUGUCUCUUAUAC